rnacentral:tRNA from 1 species
GCUGGCGUAGCUCAGUUGGUAGAGCAGCCGCCUUGUAAGCGGCAGGUCGGGGGUUCGAUUCCCUCCGCCAGCU